AACGAACGCUGGCGGCAUGCCUAACACAUGCAAGUCGAACGAGACCUUCGGGUCUAGUGGCGCACGGGUGCGUAACGCGUGGGAACCUGCCCUUAGGUUCGGAAUAACUCCCCGAAAGGGGUGCUAAUACCGGAUAAUGUCUUCGGACCAAAGAUUUAUCGCCUUUGGAUGGGCCCGCGUUGGAUUAGCUAGUUGGUAGGGUAAAAGCCUACCAAGGCGACGAUCCAUAGCUGGUCUGAGAGGAUGAUCAGCCACACUGGGACUGAGACACGGCCCAGACUCCUACGGGAGGCAGCAGUUGGGAAUAUUGGACAAUGGGCGAAAGCCUGAUCCAGCAAUGCCGCGUGAGUGAUGAAGGCCUUAGGGUUGUAAAGCUCUUUUACCCGGGAUUAUAAUGACAGUACCGGGAGAAUAAGCUCCGGCUAACUCCGUG
rnacentral:rRNA from 1 species